UAAUUUAUAAAUUAUAGUUUGAAGAGUUUACACUUUUUAUAUUUAAUUUAUUGAUAUAGCUUUGCAAGAUAAAACAAGCUAAAUUAAAAGUCGUAAGUUGAUAGACAAUAUUGUUAUUGCUGUUAAUAAGGGUAAUGUUACGUUUGUGAAGGAUGACUGAAAUUACUUCUCCAGAUUUAAUUAUCACACAUGUACUUUAGAUUUAUGUUCGUUUUUGACGCCAGAUGUACUGAAAAUAUAGCAGAAUGGUUGUCUUUUUUGUGACUUGAUUCAAAAUAUGUUUAAAUAAACUGUUGAAUUUCUUAAAAAUUUUUAUUAACGUAUACAUAUAUAACUUGUGCAUAUCGUAAUGAACAUUGAAUCUGAUUCUCGUAACUAAUGCCUAAUGAAAAACGAAGUUUUGAGAUAUUGUCUGGUUGGAAGUUGGUGUAAGAAACUUUUAAACAGAUUAAAAGUUCUUACUCACGUGUUUGUUGAUGAAAGGAGUAACUGCAAACUUCAAAUAAGACAUCAAGGGUGACACAUUGACGAUAACAUGGAAGUUUUUCAACCUCCGAAUGUGAAAACCGAACCCAUUUCUGAUGAGGAGAAUGAUUUGUUGGAUGUCACGUUUUUGAAAAAUGAAGCAAAGAAAAUAGCACCUUGUAUAAAGACAGUGUGAAGGACAUUGUCUUUAAGAUGAAGGUACCAAAUAUGGGACUGGUAGCCAAUGCAAACCAUGUAUCGUAUUAGGAAUAAUAUACAUUGAUAACAGAAACUGCUUUCCCAGAAGGAUCUUCAUUUACAGUCUUUGAUUUUAAAAUUAAAAAAAAAGAAAAGUAUGAUGAAGAACUAACGGAAGCUGAGGUAAUUUGUAUAUUAAAAACUUAUCAUUCUCUCAAUAUGGAUAACUACAGUGAUAUUUGUUUGAGAAAACAUUUAUGGAACUUUUUAA